rnacentral:rRNA from 1 species
UACAGAGGGUGCAAGCGUUAAUCGGAAUUACUGGGCGUAAAGCGUGCGCAGGCGGUUCUCCAAGUCCGUUGUGAAAGCCCCGGGCUCAACCUGGGAAUGGCAGUGGAAACUAGGGGACUGGAAUCUGGCAGAGGGGGGUGGAAUGCCGCGUGUAGCAGUGAAUUGCGUAGAGAUGCGGCGGAACACCGAUGGCGAAGGCAGCCCCCUGGGCUGAGAUUGACGCUCAGGCACGAAAGCGUGGGGAGCAAACAGG